rnacentral:rRNA from 1 species
CGGGUUGUAAAGCUCUGUCGAGCGGGACGAAAAUGCGAGGUGUUAACAGCGCCUCGUACUGACGGUACCGCUAAAGGAAGCACCGGCUAACUUCGUGC